CCUGGUUGAUUCUGCCAGUAGUCAUAUGCUUGUCUCAAAGAUUAAGCCAUGCAUGUCUAAGUAUAAGCAAUUAUACCGCGAAACUGCGAAUGGCUCAUUAUAUAAGUUAUCGUUUAUUUGAUAGCACAUUACUACAUGGAUAACUGUGGUAAUUCUAGAGCUAAUACAUGCUAAAAAUCCCGACUUCGGAAGGGAUGUAUUUAUUAGAUUAAAAGCCAACGCCCUUCGGGGCUUCGUGGUGAUUCAUGAUAACUUUUCGAAUCGCAUGGCCUUGCGCCGGCGAUGGUUCAUUCAAAUUUCUUCCCUAUCAACUUUCGAUGCGAAGGUCUUGUCUUCGCAUGGUUGCAACGGGUAACGGAGGGUUAGGGCUCGACCCCGGAGAAGGAGCCUGAGAAACGGCUACUACAUCCAAGGAAGGCAGCAGGCGCGCAAAUUACCCAAUCCCGACACGGGGAGGUAGUGACAAUAAAUACUGAUACAGGGCUCUUUUGGGUCUUGUAAUCGGAAUGAGUACAAUUUAAAUCCCUUAACGAGGAACAAUUGGAGGGCAAGUCUGGUGCCAGCAGCCGCGGUAAUUCCAGCUCCAAUAGCGUAUAUUAAAGUUGUUGUGGUUAAAAAGCUCGUAGNCUUCUUGCAGGAACCAUUCUUGACCAUUUGACCACUUAUUCCUUGUUUCUUGUUUUGUUCUUGCGGUGUGCGGGUGUAACGGGCUACGCCGUCAAGAGGCUUCGGCAGAUGCCCAAGCCAACUAACCCUCACCAAGCGUUGCCUGGCAACCCAUUCCCAACAAAAGACUUCUCUCCGACAAGGUUCCGACUACACUCUAUUUUCUUCUUCUCUUCUUCUCCUUAUCAAAAGCUUCCUGUACAAUAGGCCUCUGUCAAGUAGCACUGCUUGGCUGAACCCUCACAGCGGGCAGGUUGCACUGCUCCGUCUCAAUACGGCCCUAUUUCCGUUGAUCAACCAUUCCGACAUUCCAUUUCCAUUCCUGCAGGCAGAAUUGCAGCAGCUUCUUGCAGGAACUAUUCUAGACCCAUUUGACCAGAU
rnacentral:rRNA from 1 species